UACAGGGGAUGCAAGCGUUAUCCGGAAUGAUUGGGCGUAAAGCGUUUGAACAGGUGGUUUGAAAGUCGAUUGUUAAAACCCAAGGCUUAACCUUGGACCGGCAAUGGAAACUUCUAGACUAGAGUAUGGUAGAGGUAGAUGGAAUUACCGGUGUAACGGUGAAAUGUGCAGAUAUCGGUAAGAACCCCGAUGGCGAAAGCAAUCUACUGGGCCAAAACUGACACUUAAGAACGAAAGCUAGGGGAGCGAAUAGG
rnacentral:rRNA from 1 species